rnacentral:rRNA from 1 species
UACAGAGGUCCCAAGCGUUGUUCGGAUUCACUGGGCGUAAAGGGUGCGUAGGCGGUCGGGUAAGGCUGAUGUGAAAUCUCCAAGCCUAACUUGGAAACUGCAUUGGAUACUAUCCGGCUAGAGGAAUGGAGGGGAGACUGGAAUACUUGGUGUAGCAGUGAAAUGCGUAGAUAUCAAGUGGAACACCAGUGGCGAAGGCGAGUCUCUGGACAUUUCCUGACGCUGAGGCACGAAAGCCAGGGGAGCAAACGGG